rnacentral:tRNA from 1 species
GAGAGUGUAGCUCAGGGGCAGAGUGCAUGCUUAGCAUGCAUGAGGUCCUGGGUUCAAUCCCCAGGACCUCCA